CCAGACUCCACUUCACAGAGCCAAGAGUUUGAGUACAAGACACCUGACCUUCUGGAUGAAAGGUGUCGAGCUUGUCGAGUACUAAGCAAAUUUACCCUGGCAGCAUAUGGCUGAAAACACUGGAG